UGGGGAGGACCCCCGCCCGCCGCCGCGCCUGCGCCCCGCGACCCCCGGACAAUCCCCGGCUGGGGGCGCGCGCGCCGCCAGCGGUCGACCUGCCAGUCCCUCCGUCCCGCAGAGCUAUCUCACGCGGCCCCGGACACAGCCUGGCGGCCACGGCCGGCCCCGUCACGCGCGGCAGCCUCGCGCCGGCCCGGCCGUCAGUCGCACACGCACAGCCGGCUGCCCAGCCCACUGUCCCGCACAGGCCCGGCCGCAGCAGUUCCCUCAAGCCCGCUUCCGGAGUGCCGCCCGCGCAGCGACCGGGAGGAGAGCAGCCACUCCCUAGACUCACCCCUGCAAUCUAGCUGCCCCUGUCACAGAACACCGCCCAAACUAAAGACACCUGCGGUCACAGUGGAGCCUGUCUGACGGACGUUGAGCCAUGCAGAGCCAGACAGAGCAGGACAAUGUACUGCACGUCAGAGAAAAAAAAUUGAGGCAUGGAGAGAUUAAGAGGCAUACUCGUGGACACAUAGCUAAGAGGUGGCAGAGAUGGGAUUCAAACCCAUCCAGAGUCCAUGCUAUGUUGCCUUCCAUGUGCUGUUCCUGUCCCUGCCUUCAGAAAUAGAGAGCAGAGCACCGGGAGCCCUACCCCUCAUCCAUAACCCCACGCCGACAGAAGUGCUGCCAAAGAGCGAGCCUCAGUGGUAGUCUUUCCUAGGAAUCUACCUGAAGUAAGUAGCAGAUGCACUUGGGGGUCAAAGUCCUAUCAUACAGAAGCAUGUCCAAGGCUGCGCCAUGGAAAUCAGAAGCAGAAUCUGGCCAGUGGUAGAAAAUGCAGCCAAUCUGGAUCAGUUAGGCUGACUCAUCACCAUUCAGGAUUUCCUAACAUGUACCUCUUUUCCCAAAAGACUUAAAACUGGCUUGACUUUCACGCUGGCUUAAAGGGCAGCACCUUUCCACUUAUGAUAGUGAGAUGAUGGAAAUUCUGUCCAGUGCAGAAGAGGAGUUCAUAUGCUGACUACCUGAUUUAAGAGACAUUACCCAGGGCUUCCCUGGUGGCACAGUGGUUAAGAAUCUGCCUGCCAAUGCAAGGGACACGGGUUCGAGCCCUGGCCUGGGAAGAUCCCA